GAUGAACGCUAGCUACAGGCUUAACACAUGCAAGUCGAGGGGAAACGAUAGAGAAAGCUUGCUUUUUCUAGGCGUCGACCGGCGCACGGGUGAGUAACGCGUAUCCAACCUGCCCACCACUUGGGGAUAACCUUGCGAAAGUAAGACUAAUACCCAAUGAUAUCUCUAGAAGACAUCUGAAAGGGAUUAAAGAUUUAUCGGUGAUGGCUGGGGAUGCGUCUGAUUAGCUUGUUGGCGGGGUAACGGCCCACCAAGGCUACGAUCAGUAGGGGUUCUGAGAGGAAGGUCCCCCACAUUGGAACUGGGAGACGGUCCAAACUCCUACGGGAGGCAGCAGUGCGGAAUAUUGGUCAAUGGACGAGAGUCUGAACCAGCCAAGUAGCGUGCAGGAUGACGGCCCUAUGGGUUGUAAACUGCUUUUAUAAGGGAAUAAAGUGAGUCUCGUGUGGUUAUUUGUAGGUACUGUAUGAAUAAGGACCGGCUAAUUCCGUGCCAGCCGCCGCAGUAA
rnacentral:rRNA from 1 species